GACGAACGCUGGCGGCGUGCUUAACACAUGCAAGUGGUGCGACGAACCAGGGCUUGCCCUGGGGCAAAGCCGCGAACGGGUGAGUAACACGUGGGUAAUCUGCCCCGAUGACCGGGACAACCCGAGGAAACUCGGGCUAAUACCGGAUGUGGUGCACUGACAUAAGUCUGUGUACUAAAGGAAGCUUCGGCCUCCGCAUUGGGAGGUGCCCGCGGCCCAUUAGCUUGUUGGUGGGGUAAUGGCCUACCAAGGCGACGAUGGGUAGCUGGUCUGAGAGGACGAUCAGCCACACUGGGACUGAGACACGGCCCAGACUCCUACGGGAGGCAGCAGUGGGGAAUCUUGCGCAAUGCGCGAAAGCGUGACGCAGCAACGCCGCGUGGGGGAAGACGGCCUUCGGGUUGUAAACCCCUUUCAGGAGGGACGAAGGUUCGCCGGUGAAUAGCCGUCCGGACUGACGGUACCUCCACAAGAAGCCCCGGCUAACUACGUGCCAGCCGCCGCCGUAAUAC
rnacentral:rRNA from 1 species